rnacentral:lncRNA from 1 species
UUAUACCUCUCUCUAAGUGAGGUUUUAGAUAAGCUUUGAUGCGAUAUCUCUCUCCUCCUUUGACAUCAAUUUUCAAGAAGGGUUUAGCUCAUGGUGAUGAAUCAAUUGGUAGGGUCCUUGAGGAGCACAUCUAGCUGAGAUAAUACUGAUUUUUGGUAUCUCCGAGUAGGAUCAAUCAGUGAGUCCAAGGUAACUUGGAGCCAGGGGUUGAUCACAUCGGUGGGUGCGAGCCAGUUCACCACAAUAAGACCUAUGAACUUGUUAAGCAAUCUAACUUGCAAACUCGGUGGCUCCGAUGAAUUUCGGAUAGGAGGGACCGACUUCACCACAGAAAGAAUGAUUUGUCAAUCUCAGCUCACUUUGCAAUAAGGUCUUACAAGGAUUUGCAGUGAAUUUAGAUAAGAUUUGCGAGGAAUUAAUAUAAGAAAGUAAAUAGCCAAAUGAAGUAAAAGUAAACACAAGAUGCAGUGACCCAACCCAAAUGGAUCGGUGCGUCUGUGCUUUUCUUUGCUAUCCCUGGAUUAGUUUGCUAGCACACACAGUACAUCGAUGAAAUACCCUAACAUCACAUGUUAAAAAGAUAAUGUAGAUUCAGAGUAUACCUCAAAUAACACAGCGGAAAAACAAUCAUAAGGGCGUGGACUUCCACCAAUGCCAACGAGAAGUUGAGUGUAGACCGCAACCCUACCAUGUAACUCUUACUUGUCGAAAUAAAAUCCCGCAACAUAAGAUAUUGCAGCCAUAUAGGUCAAUAUACUGAAUGUAUUGGCAAGUCACUCAUAAAAUGUCGGGGAUAAUUCUAUCUCUAUAUGCAAUUUGGUUGUUGGAGGCUCUGAGUUUAAGCUUUUGCAUAAAUACUAGUUUUUCCCUAACUCAAGAUAAAUCAUAAUAAGUAAAGUUGAUGUCACUAAUGAGAUGGUUCCACCAAGCAAUUCUCAUAUCCAAAAGUUGUAGGGUAACGUAGCAUAAAACAAAAAAAUUCCGACCUACACACCAGCCGAGGACCACUAUGGAGACUGCAUACAAGGCUUGAUCUAUAACCUCCCAACUAACAUAGCGCAGCGGGAAGUAGAGUCAAUGACGAUCGACGGUGCAGAUCCCCGCAGCUCGGAUUUAUAACCUCCCAACCGCGAGGAUGUAUACCCUCAUCUGCCCCUUGGACAACCCUCCGGGAGGUGGUCGGACAGUCCCCCGGACGGUGUCGCGGACAGCCCUUCGGGAGGACCUUCGAAACUUGGAUGGUCACUCAGAUAGCCCUUCAGAAGGACCUUUGAAACUCGGACGGUCACACGGACAGCCCUUCGGGAGGCACUCUCGAACUAAGACCAAAACUACGAUAUCUCUAUAGAGUUGCACACAUACGGUGUCAUCUAUCCAGCAGGGCUUCGUCGUCCAGAACUAGUUCCCACCAGAACCCAGACAACCUUUCGUCUCUACGAAACUAUUUUGCGGGGAGGGAGAGAGAAGACAGAUCAUUGCAAUGGAACUUGUAUGUGAGAAAGAGUGAGUGUGGAGAGUGCCUCUCCACCUCUAUUUAUAGGAAAACCCAAGGGGUAGGAGGCACAUGAAAAACCCAAAAUGUCCAUACUUUAUGUCACACAUAAAGGGCAUAAAGGGAUGACAAGUGGAGCCCCAUGGAAGAGCUGCACCCUCCAACGUCCCACCUUCAUGGGACCCCCAAAGGGGGUUCCUUGAUCCCCAAGUCCUUCUAGAAGCCUUUUGGGAAAAGCCCCAAAAGGUGGCUUUCCAUAAAUAUCCCAAAAGGCACUUUCACUAUUCACGACGACAUUUUUCAGCGUCCGUUCAAACUAAAAAUAUUUAUGUGGGCUUAGAACAUUUCUAGUACCCACUAAAAUAAUUUUCAACGCGUUCCGAAACAAUUCCGGAUUAAUGAUUUUCAUCUGCGAAAAGCAUAUGAAGUGGUUCCGGCAGCUCCGGAGCAUUUCCAGCUUUUAUCCCGGAAAAUUCGAGAAAGUUUGCAGAAUGACUCUGGCACCCUCCUAGAAUUAUCAAGCAUGUGCCGAAACCAAUUUGACUUAAUAGUAUAUCCCGAAAAAACUUUUUGGUUUCACCGAAACUCAUCCGAUGACCUCUCUCUGCGAAACUUCUCCGGUGUCCGAAACUUUUUUGGUGAUUUUCUCUCAGACUCCCUGUCUAGUAUUCAGCAGAUAGAUGACCCUUAAACAUGUGACCCUAUAGGUUCGGUGAAGUAUAGACAUGACCCGGAACCCCUUCCGAUCAAUGAUCAACAUCGGAGCCAUGGACACCCAUAUUGACCCCUAUACCCACACAAAAAAUAUUUGAGUGAACCUCCAGUUGCAGUGAGCUAUUCCUAUUUCUUCGUGAUAUGUCACAAACACCCGAGGUGAGAUUUAUUGCAUCCCCGUGGACAAACAAUUUGUACACCAUGCAAGUUACCUCAUUACCGGUUUUGUUCUCUUUUCUCGUUUCUGUGUUCCGGCAUCCCUAUGAUCAAAUCACACUGUGUCUGGACAGAUGAUGAUGGAUACCGUAACAGUGAGAGGGCCCGAGAAUAUCUCUCCACCAUUGAAGGAGCAAAUCCCAAUAUUGAGCUAUCUUGUUACUUGCCAUACUUUUCCGUGAACCCGUAAGCCGCCGUAAUAGCCACCUAGUUACGGAUGACGUUUAACAAACCCCAUAGUUCACAAAGCAAGCACGAAGGAACUCGAUACUCUCAUGGUCUAAGGUAUUGUGCAAACAUUAACUAUCUCUAUGAUAUUAACCAUAAACUUGUGACGAAAAGAAUCUCAUAGCAUACCAUCAACUUGGGUCGAUUCAACACAUGUGUUCUACCAACAUUGUGCCCUCAAAAAUUGCCAGCAUAGACAUAUGCCCAUGAUCAGGAAAAUGGGAUCAUCAUGCAAUACAUGAGCCAGUCUUAGAGGCAAUUCUAGGAAUACAUUUUACUGUUUAGUAUACCACACGUGCACAUGAGUUUCCCUCCGAGCCUCGUGGAUAUUGCAGACUCGAGAAUCAUUGCGGUUAUAACAUGGAACAAACAUAAUUAUGAACUUGGAGAUAAAUAAUAUCAUUUAUUAUUGCCUCUAGGGCAUAUCUCCUACAGACUCCCACUUGCACUAGAGUCAAUAAUCUAGUUAACGCUAAUGCACUUUACACCUAUGGCAUACAGGUGUAAAAAAUGCUUCGCAUGUGGUAUAGCCUGAUGUCCAUCGGAUCUGACAACUUCUGCUCCGUGUGUAUCUCUGCAUAUCCUCGCGUUUUCACGCUUUCACAAAAUUCAUAUUUUGUGUGGACUUGGCUUUGUAUAUAUGUGAAUCAUUGGUCGAAACCUGAUUCCUUAGACUGAGUUAUGGAGCAACUAUCUGCAAUAGUAUCCCAUUGACCAAAGCCUUCUUGGAACCAUACUAAGUUAAUGAAUGAACUAUACGAUUCAUCAUCUUUGUCUUUGUCGCUUCUAAAGCAGCAACAUACUUAACCUCUAUUAUAGAAUUCGCCACAGUAACUUGUUUGGAACAAUUUCCAACUAACUGCCCACCAUAUUGUGUGUUACACAAAACCCUCAAUUUAAAUUGAAAAUCGCAUGGAGAAAUGAUGAAGAUUUUAUCGAUGUAACCUUUUACAACGAACUCUUCAUGAUGUCCACUUGCAAGAAAACAUGUCAUCAGUGCUACUUUAGUACUCAAUGAUCCCUUUUCACUGUUGUCCCAUGAUCAGUACUUUUGAUCACUUUGGUAUCUAUACUCGCAACAGCUUGGGAGUAUUGGACAUAUCUGGUUGUUUUACAUACCAUGGAAUACAUGAUUAAUCCAAACACAGGAGUGUGUGAAAUCUCCAUCAUGUAUUUUUCUCAUUAGUGUUUUGGGACACUGAUUCUUGCAAAAACUCUUUCCAUGUGACUUCAGCAAGAAUCAUUCCUUGUCGUUCUUAGUGCUAAACAAUUUUAGCAUCUUGUCAAUAUGUAUUUUUGCUCAGCCCUAUUAGGUAAAUCUAUCUCCAUAGAUCAUUAUUCCUAAUAUCAAGGCUAUUUAGCCCAAGCACUUCAUCGAAACUAUUUUCAAAUGAAGUCCUAAUUCGUGUCAAGAAAUUUAUUUCCAAUUAACAAUGUGUCAAGCACACAAGGUUUUCAGAAAUAUUACUAUGCUCCCACUUAAUUUCUUGAAACCACAAGCAUCUUCAUUACCCAUUGAUGAAGUCAAACCCCUUUGACCAUUCCAUCAAAAACGAAGAUUCCAAUUCCAUUUUGCUCUCUUUUAUCCAUUGCUGGAACUCUGAAGCUAGCAUACUUACUAGCAUCCUCUGGACCAACAAAAUACUUUGGAUUGUAUCACAUACAAGUCCUAGGUUGUAUUUCCAUUUCAUGGAAAUUCUUUUGUCAUCCAUGUCUCAUAUCUCAUGUUUGAAAUAUGUAUUAAUUGCUAGUUUAACCUGAACUGAAUUUAAGCAUUGCUAUGGUGAGAUAAUCUCAUUAUAGUCAACUCCUUGAACUUUUUCUUGCAACAAGUCGAGCUUAAUGGAUAAAACAUUUUUAUCCGUAUUAGUUUAUAGUCCCAUUACAAUCUGUUAGACUCUAGGUCUUUCGGAGGGUUUAUCAAGAUUUUAAUCUUGAAUCAUUUAUGGAAACUAUCUCGGAUUACAUUGGCAUUUAGCCAAUUCCGUAGUCAGGGCCCAUCAAUGCUUCCUUGUGUAUCGUAGGUAUACUGUUGUCUAACAACAAUAUCUCGUUUGCGCACUUGAGAGGUUUGCACGAGCUUUGCCUACGCUGUUCAGCUACAAGGUCGAACGAAGUCCAUACAUCUCAUGUAGAGGCUUCCACAUCAGUCGCAGUAGGAAACUCUGGAAUUACUUCCAAGGUUCCAUUCCUUUAACCUGAUGACGAAGAUACUUGUUAUCUCGUCGAGUUGCACUAUCCUCCCACUCACCUUUUGCAAGAACUAUUCUCUAUAAAAUCAUACCAUUUUGUGGCAAAAUCCUUGGCCUCGGUAUAGUAGUGGUGGAAUACCCAAAGUAGAACUUGUAUGAAAUAGGCAUGUAACCUUUUACACAAGCCCCAUAUUCCAAAUGUUAAGAAAAGAUAUAUCAUGGUUGGUCGUACCAUACCAUGUCGUCAUUUCAACAAACCUAAUGGAGCUCUUUUCAGUGUAAAAACCUCAGUCUCUAAAGCAUUACUCUUUAAAAGUGAUAAUGGCAAAUUUAUUUAUGUAUCUUUGAUCUUACCAUGUCAUAAAUGGUUUUAUUACAUCUUCACAGACAUUUCACUCAUAGUGGUGUUCCAGGAGUUGUAAGUUAUGAAACUCUUUUCACAACUCAUCAGACAUUCGCUAAACUUGUAACUCAGAUAUUCCUUUCUGCAAUCAAAUUGUAGAAACAUAAUUUCCGUGUUACAAUAACUUCUACUUCAUUUUUGAAAACCUUUCGAAGGAUUUCAAAAGAUUCAGACUUACGUCUCAUCAAGCAAAUAUCCAUAUAUCUACUUGAGUCAUUUCUGAAGAUAUAUAAAUCCACUACUUGCAACAACAUUUAUUGAACUACACACAUCAAAAUGUAUGAUCACCAAUAAGUUUGCUGCUCAUUCCUUAUGGCCUGUGAACGGUAUUUCAAUCACUUCACUUUUCGGAGGAAAGUUGCAAGUGUCAGAUGAUUCAAAAUCAAACAACUUCAAAAUCCAUCAUAAUGGAAUUUUUCCAUGCAAGUUUCUCCAAUGUGACCAAAUGCAGCACCACACAUGUGUGGUAUUCUAAUAGUCUUGCGACAUUUAGCGUCAGUGCUAUGGAUGUAUCAUUUUACCAUCAAUAUUCAUAACAUACAUCCCAUCUUGGAUGGAAGCAUGGCCCUUCAUGUUAUUCAUAAUACUGAACAACAAUUGUUGUUUUAUGAACAACCCUUUUGCAAUAAACAUUGUGCAAUGGGCUAGAGUGUAAGAAACUCUAAAAUGAAUUCUAAAAGUAAACACUGAGGUAAUAUACUAAUAUCAUUAUUCAUAACAUACAUCUCAUUCAUAAUGAAAGUAUGACCCUUAUGUUUAUUCAUAAUACUGAACAUCAAAAGUUCUCUUAUGAAUAACCUUCUUGCAAGAUACCUUAUGCAAAGGGCUAGAGUGUGAGAAACUCUAAAAUGAAUUAUGAAAGAAAAUACAUAGGUAAUACACCGAUGGAAGGUAUAGUAACUUUUACUAUGUUCCCAACACGUAUUGAAACCUCAUUCCUGGUUAGUCUUUCUAGGCCAUAGUAGCUCUUACAUCGAUUCGCAACAGAUUGCAAUCGAGCGGGUAUCUUUGUGAUUAACUCACAAUACCCAAGAAUUAGUGGUUAAUAUGUUUAACCAUAAUUCCCAAGAACUAUAUCUUCGACCAGCCUUCUAUACAUCAAAACUUGUAUGCCAUUCAUACAUGAGCUGGAUAUUCCAGUCAUCUUUCUUCUGCCUUUAUACUUAUAACAGUUUAACUUUUAGUAUUUCUCCUACUUGCAAAAGAAGCACCCAACUUAAGAGUGGCGUUAGCCCUAGAAUUCCUAGGCAUGAAAGUCAUACUAACACCCUUUGGACACUUCCUUUCUCUUUAGGUUGUUGUUUUAUUUACCUUUCAUCAUAUGACAUGCGUUCUUCUGGAUCCCUCUCUUAUCAGUCUAAUGCAUAGUAAACACUUUACUAAUAAUUUGCAAACAAACAUUGCGUUGGAUAUUUCAAAUCUUUUCAGCCUUUGUUUGUAUCUGAAAAUUAAUUUUCAGUUCCAUGAAUAUCACAUAACUAUCCCAAACUUUCGAAGUUCAAGUUUCAUCGAAGCAAACAUAUUGCACUUGACCGCAACGGAAUUCUAGCUUUUGGAUCGAAGGACGAGAGUCUCAUCAUCCAUUGCAUUUAGCGGGAGUAUACGGAAAGCAUGCGAUAGGACAAAGUCCUUCUCAGCACUUUUGAGGACAAUCCUAACAUUACGUUACCAAUCGUAAAGUUGUAACUAGAUAUUUAACAACUAUUCAAUUUUAAUAGGGAAGGUGGAAACGCGAGCCAUUAUUCUACAACUAUUUUGCAAGAAACACUUAGAAAAUGUUCAUAAUUAAUUGCACUAAGAAUUAAACAUGUUAAUUAAAUAGUGCGCUCCCACUCAAAUCAAUGUCUCUCAUAAUUGAUUUAGAGUGAUUCAAGAUCCAUAUUUCUAUUCGAUUCUAUUGACGGGUUCAUCACUGAUGAGACGAAUUUCAAUCGGUAGGCAAACUUGCCGAUCACAUCUCUAUGUGAUUCUUGUUCAUCUUUCGGUGGGUGUGUUCCGAGCUCAGGACUCUCCUGCCUAAACGUCAAAGACAACCAAGUGAUCUUUCUACGAGGUCUGACCUCACCCGCCUCAUUCCUCUCGAUUCAUCCGUGCUCAUGUGUACAUGGCGCACCCCGAAAAGAUAUGAAUUUCAGAUGGUGCUACACUUGGGUGAACACUAACUACUUUGAUAUUUUAAGUGAGAGGUCACCCUAAUAAAAAGUGGCUACCGUGCAAUCAAGAAGGAUGCAUCAUAAGGGAUAAACAUCUCAAGCAAUUCAUAAUAGCAUGAUAUGGUAUAGCCCUUUAUGACGGAGAAGUCUUUCAUUCCUUCGUCUUCGGCAUUCGCGUCGGUGUUCACCUUCACGAAGAUUGCCACCACCUUUUCAAUGCACCAGAUAAUAUUGCUAUCUCUAUCAGUAAUAAAAUAAGUGCAUUACUUAAGGUUGACACGCAGGUCAUUAAAGUGACAAUCAUAUGGCUCCAGCCAUCAUGCCGAAUCAUGACACGUAGGUCAUGUUAAUCAAUUUACAUCAUAUAGUCAUUCCAUAUAUAAUCAAAUUAUUAUGAGCACUGCUAUACCAUAUGACAUGCACAUGCAAACCCUCCUGCAAAACCAAGUUAGAUGCCUCUAAUCGGUUCAUGCAAAAACUUGUUUUCCGUGGCUUCUAAGGUUUCAAAACAAACCGAAGCUACCAAUGUCCAUCAUCAAGUAUGAUAAUUCAAGUCGCUAGAUUAACUUUGUGGGGUGUAUGAAGCACAAGAUAAUAAAAUUUCAAACCCCAUACUAAACUUCAUCAUACACAUGACCCCCGUGCAGAUCAUAUCUGCAUUGCCCUUUCGUCUGCGAAACAUCCAUCUUUCUUUAACUAUGGUGGAACCCAAAGAACUGUUAGCACUUUGUUGAUCUGUCAAUCAACAUACUCAGGAGCAGCAUGAAAGGAUCGCAGAUUGCUAGAACUUUGUGAUAUUCCACCAUGCCGUCAAGAUCAGGAUUAUGCAAAUUCAAGGGAAGCAACAAGAACAUCGGGUACCAUAUUUCAUCUCCUACCUGCACAAAUAAUUUUUAGUAAUAGAUCUCAUCUAUUACCUAAUUUUAUUGUGCAACACCCAUACAUCUCUAUGUAUUCUAGAUCGCAACCUGCAUCUACGCAUAGCACGACUCAUGAUGCCACUGUAGGGUAACGUAGCAGAAAACAAAAAAUUUCCGACCUACGGACCAGCCCAGGACCACUAUGGAGACUGCAUACAAGGUUUGAUCUAUUUUGUUACCGACUCAUAGUGCAGCGGGAAGUAGAGUCGAUGACGAUUGGUGGUGCAGAUCCUCGCAGCUAGGAUUUACAACCUCCCAACCGUGAGGAUGUAUACCCUCAUCUUCCCCGAGGACAGCCCUCUGGGAGGUUGCCGGACAGUCCCCCGGAUGGUGUCGCGGACAGCCCUUCGGGCGGAC